GGCCAGUGAUGUGAUAGAAUAUUUGCUACUCUUAAUGGAUUCGUUGAAUCUCUCACUGAUGAUUCCUAUCCACCAAGAUCCCUGAGCUC